GCCGACUUUCAGUCACCAUACAACUUUUAAAACAACAAAAGAUUUCUCUUUGUUUUACAAAAACAUGAUAGUUCCGAGUGAAAUACUGCAUAGAAUUCACGGAAUAACCCUGAUGCACACAGAGAACCACAUUCACUGUUUAAAAACAGUGGAAGAUAUUAACAUAGGAACUAGAGCCGAGAGCCUUCACGAUCAGCCAGCUGCAGGUCAGACCUGAACUACAAACCUGAUCUUAGAUAGGCCAAAGUGCCUACCCUGCCAGCAAGGGGUAGCUGUUAGCCUGGGCACAUUUUUAAUUAAAAACAGGGAGAGAAGACUUAUAAACUUCAGUAAUUUUCUUCCCAAACACGCAGGGAUGCACUUCACUGAACACUCAUUACGUGAGACGUAAUUUUACCUUUAUGUCCUUUACCUACACUGGCAUCGACGGAGGCCACAGCGCACCGCGCUCCUUGAGAAAAUCCCCGGCCUCAGCCCUACUGAGGUCGAAAGUCGGUGACGGAAAGAAAAACGAACGGAGCGGACCGAGGGCGAUGUCCCCGCCGCAGCCCGGUGUGCCCGCCCGCCGGUCCCCGUGCGGGGCGGCGGCGCUCCCGCUCCCGCCCGGGAAACUUUCGGGUUGCGCCGCUCUCCGGCCGGGAGGCGCUGCCCGCCUUCCCCCGGCGCUGCCCCGCAGCCGCCGGAUACGCCGCCUCCAUUCACCGGAGCCCCGCGAGGGGUGCGGGGGGGUGGCGUCCCGGCCCGGCGCUGCCCCCCGGCCGGGCGGCACAAAGCAGCGGCUGUCACACGCACACGAGCAGCAACUCGGGAGGAUGAGGAGGAGCCGCCCCCGAGCCCCCCCGCAACUGGACGUGGCACAACGAACACUCCUCCCGCUCCGGGCCCCCCGUGCCGCCCCCGGCAGGUACCGGCCCCCUCCUGCGCGGGGCGGCCGCGGAGCCUCGGCCGCACAGGUGACACCCGCCUUUCCCCCGCUCCCGACGCCCCUUCCCCGCGUCGUCCCCCGCGGGCGCCACAAGUUUGCGGCGGGCCCCAGCCCCCGCCCCGGCCCCAUCCCCGUCCCGCCCGCGGCCGCGCUCACCUCCGGCCGGCCGGCGGGGAGCGGAGCGGGGCGGGCGGCGGCGGCGGGGAGGCUCCCAGCCCAGGCGGGCUCCGCUUCUUUGUCUCCUCGGCGGCGGCGCCCGCUCGCUCCCCCUCCGCUUCCCUCUGCCCUUCCCUGGGCGGAUGCGGGCCGCGUCCUCCGAGAGGGGCCAGCUGGCUACCCCCGCUUCCCCUUCCUUCUCCUCCUGCGCUCUUCGCCGGACGCGUCCAAGGCCCCGGCCCUCGGCGGCGGCAACGGCAGCUCCGCUCCCUGCCUUCCCUCUGCCUGCUGCGCCCGGCGGCGGCGGCGGCGGCCCCUCCUCCGCGAACCGCCCCCCCCCGGCACAGGCACAGCCCCCGCCCCCGCCCUGCCCUUCCUGCCGCUGCCGCUGCCGGGAUCGCGCGGGAGGAGCUCUCCGGGCUCCCCUUCACCCGCCGGGAGGGCCGCUGCUCUCCCGCCCCAGCGCAGGAAGGACGAGCAGGGACAGCCUGGGUGGCUCCCUCCCCUCUGCGGGAGGACCGCUCCGGGACCGCGGGGCGGGGCAAAGGGGGCCCUGCCCGGCAGGAGCGCCCUGACGCCUCCUUCCCGUUCCAUCCCCAUGAGACCCGGCGCUCCCGGAGAAGCUGCCCCGCUGGGAGCCAAAGCGCCCGGGAAAAAUCGCUCAGGAAAAGACCAUUUCCUCUGCCCUCACCCUGAAGAACAGUUUAAUUUACCUUAGGAGUUUCCCAGCAGACCACAGGGAGCCCUGCAGAGGGUCAGGGCUUGAGGUGCCUAACACUGCACUGCCUUGUGCUUUAGUGUCAGUAACUUUGAAAUUGUUUACGGAAAAGCUCAUGGCUCCCACUGAUUUCAUCUGCUCUUGCAAUUUCACUAUGAGUCAUCCAAUAUGGUGUGUACUUUGUUUUACUUACAGACCAAACUGCCUGAAUUGCAUCUUUAGUUAAGUUGUCUCAGCUCCCUUCAGGCAAAAAAGUACAAGCAAAUAAAAUUUUCUUGCUCUCAGAGCUGUGGAGGCA
ensembl:lncRNA